rnacentral:rRNA from 1 species
CGGGACGGGUGAGUAACGCGUGGAAAACCUGCCGUAUACUGGGGGAUAACACUUAGAAAUAGGUGCUAAUACCGCAUAAGCGCACAGCUUUGCAUGAAGCAGUGUGAAAAACUCCGGUGGUAUACGAUGGUUCCGCGUCUGAUUAGCUAGUUGGUGAGGUAAAAGCCCACCAAGGCGACGAUCAGUAGCCGGCCUGAGAGGGUGAACGGCCACAUUGGGACUGAGACACGGCCCAGACUCCUACGGAAGGCAGCAG